rnacentral:rRNA from 1 species
GAGUUUGAUCGUGGCUCAGGACGAACGCUGGCGGCGUGCUUAAUACAUGCAAGUCAACGAGAAACAGGGUGCUUGCAUCCUGUGGACAGUGGCGCACGGGUGCGUAACACGUAGGUAAUCUGCCCUUAGGACUGACAUAACUCCGGGAAACCGAAGCUAAUAUCAGAUAAUGCAGCGGCUCGGCAUCGAGACAGUUGUUAAAUCUUCGGAGCCUAAGGAUGAACCUGCGUCCCAUUAGGUAGUUGGUGAGGUAAAUGCUCACCAAGCCUGCGAUGGGUAGCUGGUCUGAGAGGAUGAUCAGCCACACUGGAACUGAGACACGGUCCAGACUCCUACGGGAGGCAGCAGUAAGGAAUAUUGCUCAAUGGGAGAAUCCUGAAGCAGCAACGCCGCGUGGA